GUGAACAAGAAAUACUUCUUUGGGGCAUAACGUGUAAGAGACAGACUAUGGUUGUUCUACAUACGGAUUUAUCAAAAAAGUUAAAGUGAGUCAUAUGAAGGUAUGAACAUCUCAGUAGCAUAUUUAAAGAUGGAAGAGCAACUUUUGUACCUCUAAUAUUCCUGAUAUCACCACAGACAGAAUGGUGCACAAAUACAGCUGUUAUUCCAGUCUAUUAAAAAGGGAUGUGACAAAAUGGGACAAAUUAGAAUUUCUUUUUUCCUCCGUUCUU